CUUUGCUAAAAGCCAAUGGAAAGGGCCCCAAACCAGGAAAAAAACCUUGUAGAAGCAACACUCUGAACUUCAUUAAGACUUGAGACCUGCCUUUCUAUCAGAUUACUUCACUCACAAGAAUUUAGGAUUGGUCACCCACAACCGUUACCCACAGAAAUCUUGAAACAGAGCAACAGCCCCAAAUCACGUCAGUAUCUGUGACUGAGAUGAAAGCAAGCCUGUGAGAAAGGAGGCUGUAUGUUUUAUUUGAACUGUCAUGGAGUACAUCUGGUCUCAAAACUAACCAACAUCCACCAGCAUCAGAACUUUAGCAGAUACAGAUUGGAAAUAUAAAACCCAUUUAAAAGAGUGAAAUGUAGAAAAAUAAUGUUUACAAAAAGAGACCUAAAAAAAAAUCAAAUACAAUUUAAGAUUAAAAUUUUGGUGGAGACUACCACAUGACUAACAGGAUUAGAAACCACGGAUCUCUGGAACUGGGAGGUCCAGCAUCAAAUCCUGGCCCUGAGUGCCUGUCACCUGUGUUUUCCCAGUGAGUCCAGGAGG
rnacentral:lncRNA from 1 species